AGACAUGCCCGCCUCGUGGAGGAAGCUCCAAUGAUCCGCGUGGUGGGGCUUUUAAAAAAAGAAACUAGCCUUAGUGUUUUAUUAUUAUUAGAGCUGAAACACGCGACGUCGGCGGAAUCUACACAAAGCAAUUGCACGCCUUACCUCCGGGCGAUUUUGUACAGCAGGACUCCCCCGGCGGCGGCGGCGCACACCGUCACCCCCAGGCCCCCAGCCAGGCCGGCGGUAGGGCAGCCGGCCAGCAGCGCGCCGACUCCCUGCAUGGCCGCUAGUUCUGCAGGAGGAAAAGGUGGCGAGGAGGAGGAGGGAACGGAAUCGCAACGGCCGCUGCUCAGGCUUUCUCGUGCAAAAGGCGGGCGGCCGUGGAAAAAGAGAAGCGAGGCUGGCUGGCUGAGGAGAAGCGAGUCUGCUCCGCGUGCGAGGUCGGGUGGAAGGGCAAGGGCCGGCGCCAAGCGAAAGCGUUCCCGCCUUUGAGGACGCGCUCUUAGACCGCUCGGCUGCCGUCUUCGGAACCCCGCGAGCCCUUUCGAACGUUCGAGUAACAAACAGCCCUUUGAGAACGCGGAGUGUCCAAUCAGCCGCUCGCACCUCUCCCGUCAGCUGCUCCGAACGUUCCGGCCGCCUGCAUUGAAGCAGAAAGAGCCGCCUGGAGAUCAGAGCGAGACGCGACGCGUGGAGGAAGGUUUUGCAGCAGGAGGAGCGGCGGGUAAUUAGAGCGGCUCCUUUUUUCCCCUCCCUGUCUCUUCUCCUUGUUCCUCCUCCCUCUUUCUAAAGCGGCGUGACCUUCCUCUCCGGCUGCUGCUCCUCCUCUUCCAGGAGGCGCCGAUCCGCCCCUUUUCCUCCUGCGCCGCCCGUCGCCGGCCCGCAGCGCGGGUAAGCCCGACCCCAGACCUUGGGAAGGGAAGAGAAGAAAGCCGAGGCUGCGGUCCUUCUGCUAGCUUUCCCGGGAGGGGAGCCCGCCAGACCCAGCAUGGCGCUUACUUCCGAGUAAGACCCGCCCGCAAGGCUGCCGGAUGGGCGUGGCGUUGCCCCUUUGGAAACCUAACGGGAGUUCCCGUCUUCGGAUCGGACUGCAGCGCGCGCGCGGGAGCCGUUCCCACGACCACCUCGUCCUGUCCCGAUUGACGAGCCGUCCCCGUCCCGGCGACUUAUAGAGAGGGAUUCGUGGGUGGGAAAGGUGGGCGGCGGUGGGGGCGUUCGUGGCGGCGAGGGAAGAGCAGCCGCGUGAAAGGCCACGGUCGUGCCAGACGGCGUGUGUGCGUGUACGGAUCAGCCCUCGGGCGGAAGCAGUCAGGCACGAGAAGCCGUCCUUGAGAAGGGACUCACGGAUGGAGCCGUUGAAAAGCAGACGUCGUGCCGGAUAUUUUAGACUGGCCAGCCUGCACCCUUUAAGGUGGACAAGACGAUCGCCGUGUUUGGGAUCUGCCUCAUGAGCUGGGCAAAGAGUCCUCGGUAAAAGGCCAGGUAGCCUUCCUCCUGAAAUACCAGCCGGGCUGUCUGAACAAAUGUCUUGUACUUGGUGCCUUCCUCCCGAAGCCUUGUCCGUACAACCUCUGGGAAGGGAGAUAGAGUUCGGGUCCUCCAGAUGGCUAGGCUUGACUACCUUGACCUGUGAUGCUCGGACUGACUUCCUUCCAUCGCAGACUGAUAUGCUUAGGGAAGCUUAUCUGCCCCAUCUCCUUCGGCCCUUCCCUUCUUCUCUUCUUCAACUGUCUGAGAGAGAGGAGACAUAUUUGUCUCUGCUCUCUCCCUCCUGAGCCACGAGGGCAACUCCCAAACCUGGGCGUUGCGCCUCCAACUUAGUUAGAACUAGGUAUACCUUUCUAAUCUACUACGUAUUCUAUAAAUUAAAUAGCUUUUCUUAUGUUACCAAGUCUUAAGUCUCAGUGAUCUCAAUGCCUGCUAUUUAGGUAAAUGCACACACUGGCACACACGCAUCUCAGACCGUUGACGAUCUCGGCUCAUAUCUAUACAAAUUUACAUAACAAUACUCACUUCAGAAGCCGGAUGAGGCCCGGAGAGACGGACGUCUGCCGGACGACCCCUUCACCACUGAUUGUGCCCAGAUGGACUUGAGGGUAGUAGAGUGUGCGGAAGGACAGUUUCGAAGACUGGAGCCUCGUCUUGAUGACUUCUAAGGGGCACGUGAAGAUGGCACCAACCGUCCCGCCACAGCUGAGAAGACAAAUGUACAAGAGGGGUCAAGGUCAAAAGAAAGGGAAAGAGAUCUGAACCCCAACAUACCGACCGCGAGUUAGAGGCAAACCUGUUUCGACACUCCAGGUUGUGGCUUAACCAGCGUGGCAAAGUGGUUAGUGUUGGACUGUGACAUGGAGAGGCAGGGUUUGAAUCCCAACGCAGCCAUGAAGCUCAGUGGGCAUGGCCUUGGGCAGUCACUGCCUCUCAGCCUAACCUACCUCACAGGGUUGUUGUGGGGAUACAAUGGAGAGGGAGGAGAAACAUGAAUGCCACCUUGAGCUCCUUGGAGGAAAGGUGGAACAUAAAUGCAAUAAUAAAUAAAAAAAAUAUUGUUGUUGUUGCUGCUACUAUUAUUAAAUUUAUAUCCUGCCCGUCCUCCCAAACGGAACCCAGGGUGGCAAAAAACAGGGACAAAACACUAAUAAAAAACUUUAAAAAAAUCUUAGUAACAAUUACGAUGCAGACUGGGAUAUGGUCUCUACUUAAAAGGCUUUUUGAAAGAGAAAGGAAUUUUUAUUGCCAUCAUUUUACAAUAUAUAGAAGGGAGAAAAGGAAUACACAUACAGCACUUACAUACAGGUACUGUUGCAGUGCUAAUAAGGCCAAGUCAUAUACAUGGGGUAAUUAAUUUAAAGAAUUUUCACCCUACUCUUCAGCCAUUAAAGGUUCCCGCAGUGGCUUAGAUAAGAUCUAUUUAAAAGAAGAAGAAGACCGCCCCUUCCUACUGGCUUAUGCUCUAAAAGACAUGACAGAAGAGGAAACAGAAGGGAAGAGGGAAGAGAAAAAGCAAGCAAGCUCAGGUUCCACCGGUUUAUCACAAUGUUCGUAAUAGCAAACACAAUUCUACAUUCUGUUGUAUUACACCAGUAAAUGACAAAUAAACUCCAUUUCUUGAUAA